CUCAGAGGUUUCUGCAAAGACUAAGAUUCUAUGAUUGUAUUCUCUCAUUUCUCCCAGUGUUCUAAGGGCGAGCUGCCAUCACAAGACUGGGACGUUGGCUCCUCCAGCAGCUCUGUGCGCGCGCGGAGAAUAGCGGAAGGAGACGUGAGGAGAAUCCUCGGGCCGAAAUACAAUAGGAUUCAAGGAAAGUCUGAAGGGCGGACCUGCCCUGAAUAUGAAACGACCAAAAUCAGCUAACGAAAGUAAAGGCAAGAUGCUCAAGUAACCUGCUCCAGUUCCUAUGGGGUCAUCUGAUGCAUGGUGUGCACAUCUAACACAAGCUUCGUAUUCUGUAUACUCCUGCCUUUCAAUAAGUGGCCAUUGAUAAACUGAUUCAGCUUUCUCUUAUAAUAAGGUUUUUCUUGAGCUUCGCUUCAUUGCCAGGCCUGUUUUACUGCAAUUUGGAUAUAGAUGGAAAUUAUGUACCGUGCCCUCCGAAGCCCACUUACAGCGUGCAGGAAACCUUUAGUUUCUGAAGACUCACUCAGCACCUGUUGGUGGCGUGUGGCAGGGGGAAGGCAUAUAGCUCAAGGGAAGAUCUUAACUCCACCACACACUAGGAAUUGGGGGAGGCAUCAUGGAGGCUAGGGAGAGGGCUGGCAUUUAAGCAAGACAGUAAGGAAAACAACUGAAGAAGUGAAUUGCUCAUCCAUGUGAGGGGCUGGAUAUCAGCCAUACUACCAUCAUCUGAAGCAACUGUUCUCUCAUACUGCCCCAAUCUCUUUCAGCUUAAAAUAGAAUUCCAGCACCAGAAGAGUCACCACGGAUUGUUGGUCAUCUUAUGCCCUUUGGAGGACGGAUCCCUGUUAAAUUGAUUUCAGAUCACAUGGAGACGUGUUCUAAAGCAAGUAUCCACCCAGAUGAAGAGAACAGACAGAUGGACAGAGAGGACACUGGCUUCUUGCUUAAGUGUAGAACAUAUUACUGCUUUCAAGCUCCAGGCUUGGCUAGAAUAAGGCUGCCAUGGGCAAUCACUUUUGGAAGAGUCUCAGAGAUUCCCUUUAAGACAAUAUGAUUCUGGGAAAUAUAUUCUAAUGUCUUCCAGAAUCAAUUAUACUCUGAUGCUCAAAAGCUGAGCUCAAAACCGGGAGCUGAUCAACAGAGCUCCUGGUUGACAUAAUAUUGUGAUAAAAAGGAUCCACACCACUGCUCUGAUUACAGAGUCAAGAAGCAAAGCCAAUGCCUACUGAAGACCAAUAUUCAAGAG
rnacentral:lncRNA from 1 species